rnacentral:rRNA from 1 species
UACGGAGGGGGCAAGCGUUAUUCGGAAUCAUUGGGCGUAAAGGGCGCGUAGGCGGCUUGGCAAGUCAAAGGUGAAAUCCCUCGGCCUAACCGAGGAACUGCCUUUGAAACUGCUUGGCUUGAGGCCGGGAGAGGGUAGCGGAAUUCCAGUGUAGCGGUGAAAUGCGUAGAUAUUGGGAGGAACACCAGUGGCGAAGGCGGCUACCUGGACCGGUUCUGACGCUGAGGCGCGAAAGCGUGGGGAGCAAACAGG